rnacentral:rRNA from 1 species
GACGAACGCUGGCGGCGUGCCUAAUACUUGCAAGUCGAGCGAACAGACGAGGAGCUUGCUCCUCUGACGUUAGCGGCGGACGGGUGAGUAACACGUGGAUAACCUACCUAUAAGACUGGGAUAACUUCGGGAAACCGGAGCUAAUACCGGAUAAUAUAUUGAACCGCAUGGUUCAAUAGUGAAAGACGGUUUUGCUGUCACUUAUAGAUGGAUCCGCGCCGCAUUAGCUAGUUGGUAAGGUAACGGCUUACCAAGGCAACGAUGCGUAGCCGACCUGAGAGGGUGAUCGGCCACACUGGAACUGAGACACGGUCCAGACUCCUACGGGAGGCAGCAGUAGGGAAUCUUCCGCAAUGGGCGAAAGCUUGACGGAGCAACGCCGCGUGAGUGAUGAAGGUCUUCGGAUCGUAAAACUCUGUUAUUAGGGAAGAACAAAUGUGUAAGUAACUAUGCACGUCUUGACGGUACCUAAUCAGAAAGCCACGGCUAACUACGUG